rnacentral:rRNA from 1 species
UAAGGAGGGCGCGAGCGUUACCCGGAUUUACUGGGCGUAAAGGGCGUGUAGGCGGCCUGGGGCGUCCCAUGUGAAAUGCCACGGCUCAACCGUGGAGGAGCGUGGGAUACGCUCAGGCUAGACGGUGGGAGAGGGUGGUGGAAUUCCCGGAGUAGCGGUGAAAUGCGCAGAUACCGGGAGGAACGCCGAUGGCGAAGGCAGCCCCCUGGCCCACAUGUGACGCUGAGGCGCGAAAGCGUGGGGAGCAAACCGG